CAGAAGCAUUACCAGGGGAGAAAUCAAUUGGCAGCAGCUGAGAAGAGAUAUUUAAGUUGAAGGCCAGAACAUCUUAAUUGGGAAAGGGUGUUAAAAGUUGGAGCUAGAGUCACUUCAACAUAUAACAAAGCUCUCAAAAAAGACUUUCUAUAAAAUCAAGUAAGGUCAAAUAUAAUGGGAAAUGCCUUGCCAAACCCAAGGGGGGGGGGGUUGAAAUUGUCCACAAAGACUUUAGAUUCUGCACUAGAAUAGCCUUUCCACAAAAUCAGUUGUUUGUGUACGUUCAGCUGUUUAUCCUUUGUAGUGCACAAUGCAUAUGCCUUCCCCAGAACUUGUGCUUCUAUUGUGGGGCUAUAUCGCAAUAUUUUAUGGUUUGGGAGAGUGACAUUUGUCCCCCAAAUACUGGAUGCAUGGCUAUUAGUUAUGUAUGCAGUGUUGCUUAUGCAAGUGUCAAGGACACCUCUUGGAUAUUACCUCUCAAGUGAAAGAUAAGUAACAAAUCUGCACUUUGUGCCCAGUUCUACUGACAUUUUGUGACCUUCAGAAACACUUUCCCCUCACAAACCAGGAGACCCUGUAGUUCUCCAGAAGUUGCUGGACUAAGCGCCCUCCACCCCUGACCACUGGCCAUGUUGGAUGGGACUGCUGGGCACUGGGGUGACAACAACAUUUGAAGGGGCCACGAGUUCUUGAUUCUUAUCUUAGAGGUUGUGUGCUUCCCUGCUAUGCAUAUCAAACAGAGGGGAAAAAUUGUUGUGGCUGUUAAGUAAUGCCACUGAAGUUAUCUGUCCCCUGCUCUCUGGCCAGUAUCUUGGCAGCCAUCUGGGUCUAGAUCAUAUUUCACUCCUCCAGCCUUUAAUUCAGAGAUGGGAAAUCAAUGGCUCUUCAGGUGUUAUUGGGUCUCCAAUUCCCAUCAGCCACAAACAGCAAAGCCAAUGGUUAAGGAUAUUGGGAAUUGGUCCAACAACAUCGGGAGAGUCACAGAUGCCUCACCUUUCUGCUGAAGGGGAAUUUUUUUGUGCAAACUCUAUAAAAAGGGGGAAAGGAACCAAAAAAAUCCUUCAAUUUUGAAAUCCUUUAUUAGUAUUUUUUAAAGGAAGAUUCAAGAUUCAUUGUGAUCUUAGCUGCCCUCUCCUCACCUUCCUUGUGCUAGAGGUUCUCGUGAAGCUUUUUUUAAAAAAGAAGAGCACACAAAUGUAGCAAAAUAUAUUUUUAUGCGGUGCAACAUAGUCUCAUUAAAGCAAGCAAACGUAAUCAAGUUUUGAAUGUGAUCCAACAUUGUUUCAACAGACGUGAUGGAACUUCCCUUACUAUUUGGCAACCUCUGUCUCCACCCACUCUGUUCCAAAGACUCACCAAUACUCAGGAGUAGAUUUAGAGGGUCAGCAGUGGGCAGGAGAGGUAGGGGAGCAGUCUGUUGUGCAUGCACAAUGCCACAAUCAGAUAUCACCCUUUGGCUUGAUAUUCCCCCCACCCACCCCCAAAACUGAACAAAGAAUCUAUAAAAAAAACCCACAGGGUAAGCAGGCUAGCUGUUAACAACUUAAAAAUAAACUGGUAUAUUUAUUUAAAUAAAACUGAAACUGUGUUUGUUUGCCAUGAUAUAAUGAAAUUAUGGGUGCUAGUUUUAUGCUGCAGUAUUAUAAUGUGGGGGGAUGAUAGGAUACAGCUGUAAUGCACAAGAGAAAGAGAAAAGGGAAAAAAAACUGAAUAAGAUUAGAUUUUCAAUUAGCCCAUAUUUGGCUGAUACAAGAGACUGUGCAUACAUUUUGAGUUACAAUAAAAGAUUGUAGGAAAAGAGUAUAGUAUAGCUGAAAUCCUGUAUAUUUGCGCCUAUAGAUGUCUGUCCAAGAAAAAGAUAUAUGAAAGGGCAAACCAGAUGCUCAUUGAUUUCAACAUUUCUACAUUGCUUCCUUAGUCCUCUAGAAGCAGCAAGCUCAUACAACAACAGCAACAACAACAAUUCAGUUCAUUGCUAUUGGGAAAUUAUCACAGAAAUUCUAGUCUCUGAAAUAUUCAAUUCUGCUACAUUUCCUAUCCUGUGGUGACUCUUCUAAUCAAUAUUUUACUUGAAAGGAGUCGAACUCCCUCCUAUUUUAUUUAACUUUAAUAGGUACUAUUCCAGGUAAGUAAAUAUAUAUCAUGUGACACUACAUUAUCAGCCAGAAAAGCCAAGGCUCUGAGAUUAUGAAAUCCUUCCUGUCUUUGAUUUGUUCAGAAUAACCACUCAAAAUCUGAAUGGACAUUGCUUGUCAAAUACAGUAUAAAUAAAGUCCUUGCCCCAUUCUCUCACUCAGAGUAGAAAUUAGCACCAGGUGAAUACAGAGUUCAUCUUUAGCUGUCGGGGCUUGUGAUGUGACCUGCUUGACUAGCAUUACUGAAAAUUAAGAUGCCUGUUCAGUAACACACACAAAAGUGAUCAAUGCUGUAACAUUUCUCAAAACCAGAUAUUUGUAGUAGAUAAGUACUUUUAUAUUUAUACCAUUUUAAAGAAAUUCAGUUUGAAUUUUUGUUCUUUUAAGUUUUGAAUUCAAGCUGAAACCAGAAUUCUUAGUGGGCCGAUUGAAUCAGAUUUUCUGGUUAGGAAUCAUCUGGAUCAGACCAUUUAUUAUUAUUAUUAUUAUUACUACUGCUACAUACAAAUGAAUGCAAACAGCAACAAAAAACUAAUGGAAUAUGAUUUUUUUAUGUUAAUAUAAAAUGUAGUAAUGGAAUGAUCAAUUUCGUGUGUUCACCAUAUGGCAUACAAUAAUAGCAAAGAAUGUAUCCCCAUUUCUUGGUCAACAUCACCCUCCAUUUUCCUUCCAGCAGUUUUGAUACGAAUGAGCUGAAUGAAUGCAUAUUCAUUAUUAAUUUGUAAUCUGUCUCAACUAGGGUGAGUAGGUGUAUUAGGAAACAAACUAAUACAGUUUCUCCCUCUGAUAACCCAUUUUGGUUGCUUGUUGGUGGACAGAUAUUUUGAGAAAUCAUAUACAGGCAUCUCCCAAGUUAGUAAUUUCAUAGGAACCAGCAUCCUUAGCCAGUCAGAACAAGAAAGCUAUAAAACCUCUUUAAUUUAUUUAUUUAUUUAUUUUAAAAAAACCUAACAUUUUUUCCUUUAAAGUUAUCAGUUGUACAGGAUUGGGUAUAUUUGUACUUUGGAAAGUACAAAGAUUCUAGGCAUAUAGUUGAAGGCUUCGUUUGAAUUGGAGAAUUUGGUCUCCUUCCAUUUAAAGUUCAUUUCAUAUGUGCAAUUCAGAAAAGGUGCUUCAAGAAACUUUGGCAAUCUACAGUUAGCUAGUAUCAAUGCUCUUCUAAUAUUGUGUAUAUUUCAAAUAAGGGAGAACUUGGAACAAAUUUACUCAACCACAAAAAGAGAUUGGAAAGGAGGCCCAGAGGAAACACACAUGAUUGUAGGAUAAGCAGUUUCAGAAAGUGAACAUUAAGGUGGGAAGGAACAUAUUAUUGUUGUUUAUCUCAGAAAGAAAGCUCUUAGCGAAAUGACAUGCUUUAGCUGGGAUUUCUAACUUCAGUUAGCAAAACAGGAUUGAAUCUGCUAAGUAAAUACAAUGAACUGAACCAAGUAAAAGUAUUAUCAAAAUGGGUUUAAACACAGUCUAUUAGAUACAACCUUAUGAGCAAUAAUUUAGCCCAGAAAGUAUUUGGCCUUCCAGGUUUACGUGUGAUUUAAAGAGGCCUCCUCUCUCAUACUAAGCAAUGAGUCUCUUUAAAGGAUUUUGUCUAUACUCAUUUUUGACAGAUGAAAUUAGCAUGGUGGUUUGGGGGAAUGAAGUUUGUCAUAUAAAUCCAUGAAGCCAAAUGUUGGGGUAAAUGAAUAGAACAUGUUUGGAAACUGUCUUGAAACAUUCAAAGAACAUUGUUCAAUGGUGAAGGGUAUAACAAAAAAAAAUAAAUCACAAGUAUUGAAUGUGAACACCUCUAAGGAUUAAAAUUGAGAACUGUAGAGGAUUCUAAAUUUAUUUUUUAAAACUUACUUACUACUAAACAUGUUAUAUAUGCUAGGGAAUUACAAUUCCAACAAUUCCAACUCAACCAAUCUUAUCAGAUUCCAGAACAUUUAAAGGCUAAUGUACAGGCAUAUAUCAGAUGAAUUUUGGAACUGGAAGUGACUGAGUCAUCAGGCAAACUAAGGCCCGGGGGCUGGAUCUGGCCCAAUCGCCUUCUCAAUCCGGCCUGCAGACGGUCCAGGAAUCAGCAUGUUUUUACAUGAGUAGAAUGUGUGCUUUUAUUUAAAAUGCACCUCUGGGUUAUUUGUGGAGCCUGCCUAGUGUUUUUACAUGAGUAGAAUGCGUGCUUGUAUUUAAAAUGCAUCUCUGGGUUAUUUGUGGGGCAUAGGAAUUCGUUCAUUUCCCCCAAAAAAAUACAGUCCGGCCCCCUGCUGAAAUAGUUGUUGACCCCUGUUGGUAAUCAUUACUGUGUCAAAAACAAAGAAUGUUUUCAUAUUUCCCCCCUUCUGAUACUAACACUUUAAAGUUCUCGGUCCCUGGCUAUGCGAUUUUCAGUCAUGUCAAAAAUCAUAUGUCCUUUCAUCCAUCGAAUACAGCUUUAUUUGUAAAUAUAUAUUUUUUCAGGCAGGAAUGAAGAUUUGGAGAUAUGCUUCAGAGAUCCAGACUAUGGGGAGCCCGGAAAAACUACAAUUUGGACUACAAUUUGAUCGCUUUUUUAUUUUAGUUUAUUGUUUUUAAUUGGAUUAUGAUGCGGAUAUGUUGAUUGGCUGUUUUUAUUGGAAAAUCAAUAAAAAUGAUUUUUAAAAAAACAAAACAAAGAAUGGAGCUAUCCAUUUCUGCAUUAAUUUUAGACCAUAGAACAGUAAGUCAGCAUGUGAUCAUUCUCCGAUAACUAGUAUUGUUAGAGCUCCCGGGUAAAGCCAACUAUAUUUGCUUUUAACAACUUACAGACUCCUUUAGAAGAGGAAGAAGAAAGUAAAACUUUACUGCAAUGUUUCAGAGGUUGCCUCCAUUUGCAGUUAUGCCUUUUUGGUUUACAGCAACUUUCCAAAGGCUCAUGGAUCAACUAUUAUGUACACAUGUGGGAUAUGCAGCAGCACAUCUCAAGUAUUUGAUCAUUUGUUGUUCAAACGGACAGUCAUCUGAAACACCUAGAAGUGCUGACGCUGGCCAGACUUUAGUACAGCAACUUCAGAAUUGUCCACUGCUGGGAAAAGUUAAGUGUAUAUUGUUGAUACACAGAGGUGAAGUCAGGGAUAGCUAAAGGUGACACGUUAGAAAUAACUUUCUAUUGACUAAUUUGUUGGGAGGGGCCACACAAUGAAAAUGGUGAUAGGAAGAGAAGAUGUUCAAAAUGCUGUAAUGGAAUUGAAAGAAAUGUUUGGUAUAAGAUUUAGCCGAACUAGGAAAAGUCUUUUUGUACUGGAGAGCAGUGGAUCUGAUGUGGGCUUUGGGACAAUGAUGAAACAAGAAAAAUAUGGGAGUGAACAGCUAAUAUCCUACAGAACAAAAGGAUAAGAAGAAGAAGAGUUUGGAUUUGAUAUCCCACUUUAUCACUACCCAAAGGAGUCUCAAAGCGGCUAACAAUCUCCUUUCCCUUCCUCCCCCACAACAAACACUCUGUGAGGUGAGUGGGGCUGAGAGACUUCAGAGAAGUGUGACUAGCCCAAGGUCACCCAGCAGCUGCAUGUGGAGGAGCGGGGAAGCGAACCCGGUUCCCCAGAUUACAAGACUACCGCUCUUAACCACUGCACCACACUGGCUCAUAUAUUGGAUAAUUAUCACACUGGAUAACAUUUUAGGGGAAAAUAUUAAGUGGAUAAUUGAAUUGCUCAGGCAUUGGCUGUCAGGGGACAACCCUUCUGUUAGUAAUUGACCAGUGCCCAUUAAUAUGGAUUAAUCAAACAAAAUACACAAAUGCUAUUGUUACUUGACAAUUCAGCCAUAUUGUUUCUAAGGUAAGCAAAGAAUAGGGACAGAUGUUGAUUAUCUGUUCAGAUAUAGAUAUAUAAUGUAUUCUGAAAACUGCUUGUAGCCCGUGGGUCUAUGUGUGUUUUAAACUGUAGCACUUGUCCAGGGCUCCUUUACCUUUACCUUUCUUGUAUUUGUGCUGAAAUCGCUGCUUAGAAAUCUCAUCUGGGAUGGUGAUAAGGGGAUACAGGUAGCUUUAGCUACUGAGAACCAGCAAAGUGUUACAACUUAAAAUAGAGGAGGAAAAAGAGGAGCCCACGUUGCAACAGUUUUACUAUGAACAAGCUGGAUGGUGGUUAAGCUGAGACACACCUAGACUACUAAAUGGGGUGGGGGGCAGGAUCCAGACUGUAUUGCCCUUGGACUAGUUGGAAUUAUUUCCUUUGAUGGGCUUGGACAUCCUUCCUGUAAUUAGGAGAAUUCUGUUAUACACUAACUAUUUUUAAGGAGAUAUUUUGUGAGAAACACAAUCGCUUUAAUUAAACUUUAACUAAAUCAUGGGAAGUUUUGAAACCUAAACUGAACAGAUGAGCACUGAUGUGUGUUUUUUAACGACCCCUUGCUUAGGCAUUCCCGUGGCCCAGUCCCACAAUUAAAGAACUAACCAGCUUGCUGCUGUUCCAGUUACACUGCAGCUAGAAAGAAAGGAAACCCGAGGAGAGAAACUGCAGUGGUGGCUGGGCAAAAGUAAUUUCAGAGUGGGAAUGGACACACAGAGAGAGUGAAGAGAUGGAGUCCAUCUUCUAAAAUUGCUCUGAGCACUAGGUGGGGUGAAUAGCUGGUGCUUUCAGGGUCCAGUGACCAUCCCAGAUACAAUCAAGCCAGCCUCCUUGAACAAUCAGGGUUGUUGCUGGGUACUAUAAUGGAGGCUGCCUUGCAUUUCUUAACCAUACAUGAGCUGAGAAGCCAGGCAGCACCAAUUCACCACUUGGGAGCCUCAGAACAUAUAUGGCAGCCUCUUACAGUACCCUGAGGGUGUCUGUAAGCACAGUACCAGGUUGCCUUUCAAGCUCCAUGCUGGUAGGCCAGUGAAGCCUCUUUGCACAUGCACAUGGAAGCCAUUCUGGCUUCUGUGAUCUGAGCCACAGGUUUGUAUGAUCAGAAUGUAGAUCCAUUCUACUCUCUGCCAAAAUUUUAGAGAGCAGAGCCAGUUGUUUCAUUGCUCUCAUAGAUGCACAGUAUCUUGUGCCAAAGGUUGCCACUAUUGUGAUGAUCAUGAUCUUCAGUAACCUGGAAAGCUGUUGCUGCAUUGAAUAUACUCCAUGCUGCCAGAAAUAUGGGCUAUACAGAGGUGAAAAUGAAAAUCAUAGAUAUUUAGUGCAACUCUAAAGCACACUAGAUUUAAGGGAACAAUGACAGGCAUGGAACAAGGACCUACAGUACUUAUAUGAUGUGAUAGCCAUAUUCAGAUAGCUAAUGGGCUGUCACGUAGAAAAUGGAGCGAGCAUGUUUUCUCUUGUUCCAUAGGGUAGGAUCUGAACUGAUAGAUUCAAGUUACAAGAAAGGAGAAUCUGACUAAACAGCAGGAAGAAAUUUCUGACAGUAAGAACUGUUCAACGGUAGAAGAGCUCCCUCAGAAGGUGGUGGACUCUCCUUUCUUAGAAGAUUUUAAGCAGAGGUUGAAUGGGAUGACCAUCUGUCAUAGGUGUUUGAGAUUCCUGCAUUGCAAGGGGCAGGACUGAGGUCCUGAGGGUGACUUCCAAUUCUACAGCUCUAUGAUUCUAUAUGCCAGUCAGUACUCCCUAGUCCUAGUCUGAUACCUUGUGAACUAUACACACAUUCAGGCAUUUCCCUGACCACACAAAGGUUUUAUCUUUGCAUAGGGAAGGAGUGCACAAGCAAUCAGCGUCCCCACUGUCCCUGACAGAUGUGCUUCAGCCCUUUAUAUGCUUGUAAUUCUCUCUAACCAGGGCUUCCAAUCAAAAGGUACAAAGUGCAUUUCUAACUGGGGACACUAGGAGACGACAUGUGUGAGUGCCCCUGUCCCAUCCACAGAUAACACAUUUGUAUGCUUAGGCAAACAUGAGUAUGGUGUAUAAUAAAUACACUGACUUACCACAGAACACACUUCUCUGGCAGUCAGAUUUCAGAUCAUGCUGUCAUACUAUUUGGAGGGGUUAAUAAAUUUGGGAGGGUCCGCAGCUCAGUGGUAAAGCACAUGCUUUGCAGGCACAAAUUCCCGGGUUGACUAAGAGGCAGAUCCAGUGAUGUGAGAGAUCCGCAGCUUGAGACCCCCGGGAGCUCAUGCCAAUCAAAAUAGGCAACAUGAGGCAAUGCAGAACUAGAUGGGCAGGCAGUCUGGACUGGUAUAGGGGCAGCAGCGUCUCAUGUUCCUAUGCAAAAUUCCACUGCAUCCACAGUGAUGAACGUGUGGCUCAUAGCAAUAAGGAGUUCUUUGUUGGAUUUAAAUACAGUGGUACCUCCGGAUGCUCACUGGAAGGACAGAUCGUGAAGCUGAGGCUCCAAUACUUUGGCCACCUCAUGAGAAGAGAAGACUCCCUGGAAAAGACCCUGAUGUUGGGAAAGAUGGAGGGCACAAGGAGAAGGGGAUGACAGAGGACGAGAUGGUUGGAUAGUGUUCUCGAAGCUACCAGCAUGAGUUUGACCAAACUGCGGGAGGCAGUGGAAGACAGGAGUGCCUGGCGUGCUCUGGUCCAUGGGGUCACGAAGAGUCGGACACGACUAAACAACUAAACAACAACACCUCGGGAUGCGAAUGGAAUCCAUUCCAGAGCCCCGUUCGCAUCCAGAAUCAAACAUGACUAGUGACGGAACAUCUGUGCAUGUGCUCGUCGCUUUUCGCCGCUUCUGCACAUGCGUGUGACAUCAUUUUGAGCGUCUGCGCAUGCGUGAGCGGCAAAACCCAGACGUAACACGCUCCGUUACUUCCGGGUUGCCGCAGAGCGCAACUUGAACGUGCUCAACAUGAAGCAUAUUCAACCCGAGGUAUGACUGUAGUGCCUUUCUGCCAAGGCACUAAGGUGGUUUGCAACUUGGAAUAUUAACAGAAAGAAAUGAUAAAAAAUAUUCUCAAGCAUUGACAUUAGGUGUUUCCUGGCUUCUCCUUUGCAUCAGGGCUAAUAGGUCUUAAGCAGCCCUGGGGAAGGAGGGGAAUGGGGAAUUUUGCCCUAUUAUUUAGUGCAGGGUUGGGGAACCUGUGGCCUGUCAGAGGCUGCUGGAUUCCAGCUCCCACAGUUCUGAUCAUUUGCUGUGCUGGCUGGGGCUGAUGACAGCUGAGUCCAACAACCUCUGAAAGAUCACAGAUUCCCCAUCACUGAUUAACUGCAUUGUUCCACACGUGAGAAUUACAGGAAGGUAUUUUUGUUAAUCUAUUAUACAGGAGGAAAUAUGCAGGUAAUUCACCUAAAGUUGUUUAUCAGGUGGGUAAUACAGAGAAAUAUCAUCUAUGGAGUAGCUAGGUUUGUGAUGGCUGCACAGACAUCAAGGAAGAAUUGUUUAGAAGAAAAGGGUAUUAACUUUUAUGAUAUCCAACUGUGUUAAUUAUUUUGUCUAUUUUAUGGAAAAGGUUUGUCUCUCUUGCAAGCUUCCCUGUAAACUAGAUGGAUGCUCCUUUACUUUUUUCCUUUCUUCUUUUAAUAUUGGAUGAUAAAUGUGAUGAUAUUGUAAUGGCCAUAUUGGAUAAUAUAUAUAUAUAUAUGUAUGUGUGUGUGUAUAUAUAUAUUGCUUUUUAUCUUUCAAUAAAGAAUAAAAAAUAAAAAAUACAAGAGAUAUAACAGCUCUUAAAUUCUACAUAGUAAUUCAUAGCAGAGCACACACUACUUCACAUGCACUUGUUAUUUUUGCCAUUUGCCUGCUAUUUUAAAGCCCAUUCAUACAAACAUCCAUUUAAAAUAUUCUAAAAAGGCAAUAUCCUGACUGGAGCGCUUUCAUUCCAUUCAGCAUUGCAACAAAUUGCCUGACUGAAAAGUAAAUAUUUACUUCAGAAGAAUAUGAAACUUACAAAAAUAUAACAACACACAUAAACAAUAUGAAAUUACUUUAACUAAACUUUAUUUGACUGAUGUUUCACAAGGGUUCUGCUUGUGCAUUUUUUAGUUUAAUACCAACCACAGUUAGGCUCAGUUUGCACAUAAUGCAAAGGCAAACCAUGGGUUUGGAUGAACGUGUAGUACCGGAGAGGAGAUCACAGUCAUUUUGCUGCUACUGUAGUUCUGCUGCCACUGUGAGCUAAAGCUAUGGUUUUGCUUUACAUGUUGCCCAAACCUGGGCUUAUGGUUUUCCUGGUCUGAGACAAACCACAAGUCCAAAACUAAACCAUGGCUUAGCUCACAUCAGCAGCAGGACUGGAGGAAGAGCAAAGAGACUGUGUGUUCAUGUUAAUCCAUGGUUUAGCUUAGUGUUACAUGCAAACAGGGUCACAAUGGGUUAGCACAGUGAUGGCCAAACUUGGUCCUCCAGAUGUUUUGGGACUACAACUCCCAUCAUCCCCAACCACUGAUCCUGUUAGCUAGGGAUGAUGGGAGUUGUAGUCCCAAAACAUCUGGAGGACCAAGUUUGGCCACCACUGGAUUAGCAC
rnacentral:lncRNA from 1 species